rnacentral:lncRNA from 1 species
CACUGUGUUUACAGAUAAUCCAGCAAGUUUGCAGGCCAAAUGGCUCUCUAAAUCUAAGUCCACAAAGCACUGAAUGACACAGCAUGCUGCUCAGGGAGAUUCCAGCACAGCUCACCAGAAGGUAAUUGUGACUGAUGCACUCUAAGUGCAUCAGCCAGGCUAUUGCAUAUCAUUUCAUAGCUCAAGAGUAUGAACAAUAAGAAGCAGAUUCACCAAAUCUCGAGCAAUUAAAUGAUGGAGCGGUGUACAUUUUUGAGUGUCCCAGAUUCAGAGGCUCCAUUUUAAAUAACUGUUCUGACAAGCUAGUUCCCAGCAGGCAAAGUGUGAGCAGAGAUUAUCUCAAGCACAAGAGGGGUGUGCAGAGAUGGAAGCAGAGAAUGGAAGCACAAAUACCUGAUCUAUUGGACAAUGUGAAAGGGUGAACCAAUGGGUCCAAAAUCCACUUUUUCUUCUUAUUUGAACAGUAUGGCUUAUAAUAUUAUGUCAACUUCAAAGACAUUUUGCAAGCACAAGACAGCUUCUCU